GAUGAACGCUGGCGGCGUGCCUAAUACAUGCAAGUCGAGCGAACGGACGAGAAGCUUGCUUCUCUGAUGUUAGCGGCGGACGGGUGAGUAACACGUGGAUAACCUACCUUUAAGACUGGGAUAACUUCUGGAAACCGUAGCUAAUACCGGAUAAUCUUUUGAACCGCAUUGUUCAUGAGUGAAAGACGUUCUUUCUGUCACUUAUAGAUGCAUCCGCGCUGCAUUAGCUAGUUGGUAAGGUAACGGCUUACCAAGGCAACGAUGCAUAGCCGACCUGAGAGGGUGAACGGCCACACUGGAACUGAGACACGGUCCAGACUCCUACGGGAGGCAGUAGUAGGGAAUCUUACGCAAUGGGCGAAAGCCUGACGGAGCAACGCCGCGUGAGUGAUGAAGGUCUUCGGAUCGUAAAACGCUGUUAUUAGGGAAGAACAUAUGUGUAAGUAACUGUGCACAUCUUGACGGUACCUAAUCAGAAAGCCACGGCUAACUACGUG
rnacentral:rRNA from 1 species